rnacentral:lncRNA from 1 species
CCAAAAACAAACGAACACACACCACAAGCCUCCAGCCAACUCCCUCCUCUCUAGUCGGAGCCUGACCUAGGCACUGUUCUGACUAGGCCACUGCUCCAGAUUAGACUUGGGAGAGCAGUUCAGUCGGGACUAAGGUGGCAUCACCAGGUCGGAAGCUGGAGGCCGGAUCCGACGUCAGGAACAUGUUCCCCUACGUCUCGAUGCCGAGCGUCCCCCUGCCGAGCGCGGAGGGCGGCUGGCCCCCGCCGCAGCCCUUCAUCUACACCUUCCUACCGGGCGCGCUGCUGCUGCCGCCCAUCGGGGCCCACGACUUCUGCAGCCGGCCGGCCGGCCUGCGGGAGCUCCACUGCUUCCACGGCGCGCGCGCGCCGCCCUGGUGGCCGUCCCCGCCGCUCCCCGCCGCCGGUGACUGGCGCCAGUCUCGACCCGCAGCAGCGGCCGAGCGCGCAGCGCCGUGGCCCGAGGGCGCCAGCCUGCAGGCCGAGCUGCGCUGGGGCCGCGUGGAGCGCGUGCAGGGUCCGCCCCUGCGGCUGCCCGACUCCGUGCGCCGGGAGUUUCGGCGCGCGUACGGCACCUACCCGCGCACCGACGUGCGCGUCACUCGGCGCGGGGCCGAGUUCCUGCUGCAGGCGGUGCCGCGCGUGGGCGAGCCCGAGUACCGCGUGCAGAGGCGCGUGGCGCGCCAGCCGGACGGCGGCCACAGCGACGACAGCCCCGCCCGGGGAGCUGGGCUGCGCGGCCGCGCCCAGAGCAGCAAGGGGCCGAGCUGAGCGCGCCUCGGGCCGG